GUUUUUAUAGUUGAAUACAACAUUGGUUUUUCAAGUCAAAGGCUAUGGAUAAAGUCCAUAUAAAAAUA
rnacentral:tRNA from 1 species